CUCUUACCAUGGACAUCCUGGAAGGAAAAAGGGCCUAGAGAUUGAAUUCAAUUACUAACGGCCAGUAAUUUAAUCAACCAAGCCUAUGUAAUGAAUUCUCCAUACAAUUCCAGAAGAAUGGGGCUUGGGGUUGGCAGUUUCCAGGUUUCUAUAUCUUAAGAAGACAGCUGAUGAUUUGUCCAAUACUCUUCAAAACUCAUAAAGGAGGUAUGCUGCAAAGAUAACCAAGUAGAAUUAACUAAUGGCAAAAUGUUCAUAAAGACAAAACCAUU